rnacentral:ncRNA from 1 species
CCUUGACAGUUACAAUAAUGUAACUGACAUUUGCCACGACAAGGAGAUUUAAAUG